rnacentral:rRNA from 1 species
AUUGAACGCUGGCGGCAUGCCUUACACAUGCAAGUCGAACGGCAGCACGGGGCAACCUGGUGGCGAGUGGCGAACGGGUGAGUAAUGCAUCGGAACGUGCCAUUGAGUGGGGGAUAACGUAGCGAAAGUUGCGCUAAUACCGCAUAUUCUGUGAGCAGGAAAGCAGGGGACCGCAAGGCCUUGCGCUCUUUGAGCGGCCGAUGUCAGAUUAGCUAGUUGGUGAGGUGACGGCCUACCAAGGCGACGAUCUGUAGCGGGUCUGAGAGGAUGAUCCGCCACACUGGAACUGAGACACGGUCCAGACUCCUACGGGAGGCAGCAGUGGGGAAUUUUGGACAAUGGGCGCAAGCCUGAUCCAGCCAUGCCGCGUGAGUGAAGAAGGCCUCGGGUUGGUUAAA